CAUUUUCUUCUGAAAUUGCACAUGAUCAGUCAACCAUCACCGAUCGAAAAGAUGCCGUGUGGACGUCGGAAACGCCACAUAUACACGCAUGAAAAUAAAAAUUUAAUUAAUGUGACAAGUAGAAAAUUAUAAUUUUUUUAUUAAAUUUAAAUUUCAAAAUAUAUAAUUAAGCCAUUAAUUUCCCGAAUUAUAGAUCUUCCCCUAAAUUCCUUAGUUUUACAAUAUCUCCCCCAUUUUACAAUUGCCCUCCACACCCUAGCGUCCAGCCGUCUGCUCCAAUACAGGCUCCACAAUUGCCCUAACUUCGGCGCGCGAUUACACAGCUCCGGCGACGAAGGCUCCGGCGACUCUAGAGCGCGAUUCCAGCGACUCCGGCACACGGGACUCCAGCGCGCGAUUACACCAAGAGAGGCUCUAGCUCCGGCGACAAAGGCUUCGACGACUCUAGCGCGCGACUCCAACGCACGAGACUCCAGCGACUCCAACGCACGACUCCAGCGACUCCAGCAGGCGUGCAUAUGUGGUGUUUCCGGCGUCCACAUCAUCUUUUCGAUCGGUAGUUAGCUGACCAUGUGCAAUUUCAGAAGAAAAAGAAAGGUGAUGUAUUCUGAGGCGGAUUUCAAAUGUGGUGUGCAAUUCCAAAAAAUGAAAAAGCUCCAAUUCCUCGAUCGAACCAAAAAGAGGAGGCAUUUUCGAAGUUUCAAGAGGCUUGGAGAAAGAAUGUUGCUGAUUCUGUGUUAAGAAAUGAAAGUGGUGCAAAGUGAAUGUAAAAUGAAUAAUACAAUUUAUAAUUAAUGUGUGUAACUGCUGCUGAGACGUGUAAUCUGAUUUGCUAAAACUGCUGCUGAGACGUGUAAUCUGAUUUGCUAAUUAUUUUAAUUUAAUGGCUGUAAAUUGGGAUAUUUGUGGGUUAGUGGAGACAUUUUGUAUAAAUUAAAUUGAAUCAAUCUGAAUGUUAGUGGGUGAAGUUUGAAGUUA